rnacentral:lncRNA from 1 species
ACUGCGGCUGCGCCGCUUACCCGCACACAGACGGUUGGCAGAGGAAGAAAGCCUUGUCACACUAAAGGAGAGACAGCGGAUGUUCUGAACAGUCCUGUCGUGAAACGUUAGACAACGUGGACGAAACAGGCACAUUCCUAAGCAUCACACAUUACUGAAACUCAGUCAAGAAGAAAUAGAAAAUCUGAAUACAUCCAUGGCAAGCACAGAAACUGAACUAGGGGAUUCGAAAUCUUCCCACAAAGAAAAGCCUAGGCCCAACUGGCCUCUAUGAUACAGCAAGAAGGUGCCAUCUAUGAAGGAGAAGACAAGCCCUCACCAGACACCAAAUCUGCUGAUGCUUUGAUCUUGGACUUCCCAGCCUCCAGAACUUUUCAGACUUUGGACAACAUGUAGCCCAGGACAGUGAUCCCUGAGAAAAGGAAGACAAAUGAGGUGACACUGUGAUAGACCCAGAUCAACGCCUGGAAAAAGUUUCAAAGCUACAAUGUGAGGAGUGGGGACAAAACAGUCUAGUGGCUUUGCUGAGUGGAGAAGGCAAGUACUGGAGUCCAGGCAAAGUAUUGGUGAAGGUGGAGCCCUGGAGAAAAAGAACUCUAGAGAUCUGUAAGAGGCUCUCCUUGAAACUUCUACUGAGCACAGUUCUGCACAUGCAUGUAUAGAAUUUACUCAAGAUGAAGAAAGAACCAACGAAAAAAAGCAUAGUAUAAUGCUGAGAACUCAUAAAAUCGAGUAGGAAAUCUUGCCUAUUGAAAGAGCAUUGAGACAGAGUCCUCAGAAGGAAUUUUCUCAGUGGUGGGAACAAAUUAGCUAUAAACCCAAGUUUGCUCUGAUAUUGCUAUAACAAAGCUUAAAAGCAACUCUCAAAAGGCUCAAACUGAGUACAAAACAUCUAAUUGUAACCCAGGGUACUUCCCAACAGUAUUCAAGGGAAUAAAAUAUUUUGUGUAUAUUUUGUA